rnacentral:rRNA from 1 species
UACGGAGGGUGCAAGCGUUGUCCGGAUUUAUUGGGUCUAAAGGGUGCGUAGGCGGCGCGGUAAGUCGGGUGUGAAAUCUCGGAGCUUAACUCCGAAACUGCAUUCGAUACUGCCGUGCUUGAGGACUGGAGAGGAGACUGGAAUUUACGGUGUAGCGGUGAAAUGCGUAGAUAUCGUAAGGAAGACCAGUGGCGAAGGCGGGUCUCUGGACAGUUCCUGACGCUGAGGCACGAAGGUCAGGGGAGCAAACGGG